rnacentral:lncRNA from 1 species
GAAAAUUUGAACCAAAGUAACAGAUCCUAAUUACUAAUCAAGCUUUCAAAAAUUCAAACAUGUCGUAAAUGUUCAAUUUUUUUUAUUUUUUAAAAAAGAUGCUGAAGAUAAGAUUGGCUGAGUUAAAUAACUAGAGUAAUCCGUAACAAAGCUGCUAUAAGUAAAUCAACUGCAUGGACUUUGAAAAAUCAAUUAAAUCAGAACCCGUUAGAUUUGGACAACCCAGGACAAUUUUCAAACGUUGAAUUAUUUUCAAAAAGCAAAUAAAUUACUAUCCCGACAAACAAAAAAGAAAAAAAGGGGAAAAAGAAAUAAAAUAAAACCUGCGAAGAACAAGGAAAAUCUGAAAAGCUACAGUAAUUUCAGACACAAUUAAUAAAACAAGAUCGUCGGCGCAAAUCUUGCCAAUUUAGUGUAGCCGAGCCACGUUAGCUUCAAGCAACAUGAGCAGACAAAACGUUAAAAUACCUUCAACAAUUGAAAGAUUUUUGACAAAAAACCCCAAUAGGGCGCGCAGCACUAUGCCGAAUCCUACCUCAGGCACUCUCAUUUCAAAGUGCAUAGUUCUUCCGACCCAAAAAUCCAAAAUCAAAACCCUGAAGCUCUCAAUUCCAGACAUAUCAAUGUUGACGUGGGAAUACAACCAAAAAGGUAUCCUGUUGCCUUAUCCACCUGGCCUCUCGUUCGAUCGUCUCCUCACGUCUCUCAAAAAGCCCUUGCCACCACCCUUACGCACUUCUACCCUUUAGCCGGUCGCCUCACCACGUCCCCCGACGGCUCGAUCCACAUCGCCUGCAACGAUGCAGGGGUUGAAUUCCUCGCAGUGGACAACACGGGCGUCUCUGUAGACGAAAUUUUGUGCCCUGGCGAUGUCCCCGAUUCUGCCAAAGACCUGUUCACUUACGACAAGUUGCUAAACAUUCCAGGCCAUUAGCUGCAGUUCAGGUGACGAAACUGGCCGACGGUGUCUUCAUCGCUCCCUGUACGAACCACGCCGUCAUGGAUGGCUCAUCGUAUUGGUCCUUCGUCAAAACCUUCGCCGAGAUCAGCAGAGGGGCCCCAAUAUCCCACCCACCAUGCUACACACCGCAACACGCCACUCGACUCUCGGGUCGUGGUACCGUUCCCACCGGGCGGCCCGCCCGAGCACCCGCUCAGAAGCGACGGGCCUCUGAGAGAGCGGCAUUUCCAUUUCAACAGGGACGCCAUCUCGCGACUCAAACAGAGGGCAAACGAGGGAUAUUCAACGGGAGCGAAUGGUGGGAUUUCAUCCUUCCAAUCGCUUUGCGCCCUCAUCUGGCGGUCCAUCACCCGAGCUGGGCAACAGACAAACGCUAUUCUGGAUGUCGGUUAAUUGCCGGCACAGAUUGAACCCGACAUGGACCCACACUACUUUGGCAACGCGAUCAUGGGCUUGGAGAUUUCCGCUUCCGCGGACGAUCUCCUGACCAAGGACCUGAGUUGGGGCGCCAAGUUGAUCCACGAGUCAGUGGCGACCUACGACGAUUCCACGGUGCGACGGAAGGUGGCCGAAUGGGAAAGGAAGCCGCUGGUGACCCCGUUCGACAUCGCCAGAAAACCGACGAUUUUCGUGGUGAGCUCGCCGAGGUUCCCGAUCUACGACGCGGAUUUCGGGUGGGGGCGCCCUCUGGCGGUGAGGAGCGGGCGCAACAACAAGUUCCACGGCAAGAUAUCCGCGUAUCCCGCCAGGGAGGGCGAUGGUGGUGUGUGUUGGAGGUGGCACUAGAGCCCAACACUAUGGCACGGCUUGAGGCGGAUGAUGAGCUUGUGCAGUACUCUGCCGUGCCAAGGUAGAUUUACACAGGUAUGGACAGAACUUACAACUGGCCUCUGAUUGGCUCUCCAGCGGCCCCUUAACGUCAGCCAUUUUGGAUGUUUUGAUUAUUUUGAUUUAUUAUGUUCGGUUUAUCGUUUGUCAAAAUUUUGUGGGAUUUUUUGCACAAUUUUGGUUAUGGGAUAUUAAUUUUAGCGUUUAAACGCACAAACGUUUGAAUGUUAAUUUGAUUGUAAUUUAAUUAAAAAACGGGCCCCGUAACCUACGUCACGAGGUCAUGGGACACGUACUGAGGCUCAUGGGAAAUUUUCAACUUGUCCAUACCUGUGUAAAUCUACCUUGCUGCCGUGCUGAGGAAAAACGCCGUAUGAACUUCAGGGCGUUGCCAAAUUUUCUUAGAUAAAACACGAACCCCCCGGUGAACUUAUGAAUAUUUUCUUCCAAUUUUCAGAGAAUAUUGUUUGUGUUUUGAUCUAAAGCUCCUGAAAACUUCAAGGAAAAAUAUUCAUAGUUUCCUCAAAAAUAAACAUUUCAUCACAGUAAAUUUGGCAACAAUAGAAUGUUCAUACGGCGCUCUUCCUUUGCACGGCAGUACUGCCGUUCUAAGGCAUAGAGUACACAGAGUCGUACUCGUAAUGUAAGUGGGAGAGCUGGCGCCAUGUUCUGCUCGACGAGUCCGAGCCCGGGUGUGCGGGUCGAUACAUAUUCGAUCCAAAAUGGCGGUGUGGAAUAUGGCCGGGUCCCGUGUAUCGCAACCAUCGAUUAUGUAUCGAAAAAGGGACCCGGCGCCGCACAGGAAUCUCGGAAUUCGGGACCUGGAAAAUGCUUAAAAGUGGCGCCAACUCACCCACUUGCAUUACUACUCAAUGUACUCGAUGUUCUAGGGCAGAACGCCGUACGAUCCUUCAGACCUUGCCCACAUUUCUUUCAAGAAAAACCAAAUUUACUGAGAAAAUUUUCGAUCGAAUAAUAUACUGAAGUUGGAAAUAAGUCUUUAAAUGGCAUUUUUGUGUUCUGAAAACAUUUGUAAUGCAGAUCUCAAGAGUACAAAGGAAUACAUGAGAAUAAUGAAUAUUUCAUGAUCAGAAAUAUUUUAUGUAAAAAAGCUCGACAGCGCAAUGCAACAACCCGGGUUCUUGUGGGAAAGUCUCCAUUUCGAAGGAAAAACAUGUGCAUUGAUGACCAUGCAGUGCGAAAGCACGUAUCCCCGAUUUUUUCUUCGAACAUUUAUUUCCUUCGGGAAAACGAGUCGACUAAAUAACUUGAAAAUUCUUUGACUUAUCUCCACUAUUGGCGGAUAUUCCGCAGCUAAAAGCUACAAAUUGGAUUGUUUCUCCUCGAGAAAAUAAGAUUGGAGCGGACAUUUUAGGUACACUCCAAUUGAGGUACGAGGUUUCGCACUUUAGCCAUCAAAUU